UACGGAGGGGGCUAGCGUUGUUCGGAAUUACUGGGCGUAAAGCGCACGUAGGCGGAUCAGAAAGUCAGAGGUGAAAUCCCAGGGCUCAACCUCGGAACUGCCUUUGAAACUCCUGGUCUUGAGGUCGAGAGAGGUGAGUGGAAUUCCGAGUGUAGAGGUGAAAUUCGUAGAUAUUCGGAGGAACACCAGUGGCGAAGGCGGCUCACUGGCUCGAUACUGACGCUGACUUCCCGAAGCGCGGCGAACAAACAGG
rnacentral:rRNA from 1 species